rfam:Dipodomys ordii contig_69095, whole genome shotgun sequence.
CCUUCGAUAGCUCAGCUGGUAGAGCGGAGGACUGUAGCUGACUUCCUCAUGGGAGACAUCCUUAGGUCGCUGGUUCGAUUCCGGCUCGAAGGA